AGAGUUUGAUCAUGGCUCAGAUUGAACGCUGGCGGCAGGCUUAACACAUGCAAGUCGAACGGUAACAUGGGUGCUUGCACCUGAUGACGAGUGGCGGACGGGUGAGUAAUGUAUGGGGAUCUGCCGAAUGGAAUGGGACAACAGUUGGAAACGACUGCUAAUACCGCAUAACGUCGCAAGACCAAGGAGGGGGACCUUCGGGCCUCUUGCCAUCGGAUGUGCCCAUAUGGGAUUAGCUAGUAGGUGGGGUAAUGGCUCACCUAGGCGACGAUCUCUAGCUGGUCUGAGAGGAUGACCAGCCACACUGGAACUGAGACACGGUCCAGACUCCUACGGGAGGCAGCAGUGGGGAAUAUUGCACAAUGGGGGAAACCCUGAUGCAGCCAUGCCGCGUGUAUGAAGAAGGCCUUAGGGUUGUAAAGUACUUUCAGCGAGGAGGAAGGCGUUGUGGUUAAUAACCGCAGCGAUUGACGUUACUCGCAGAAGAAGCACCGGCUAACUCCGUGCCAGCAGCCGCGGUAAUAC
rnacentral:rRNA from 1 species